GAUGAACGCUGACAGCAUGCUUAACACAUGCAAGUCAACUGUGGCGGACGGGUGAGUAACGCGUAAAGAACUUGCCUCACAGAUAGGGACAACAUUUGGAAACGAAUGCUAAUACCUGAUACUGUGAGAGAGCUUUGCGUCCCAUUAGCUAGUUGGGGAGGUAACGGCUCACCAAGGCGAGGAUGGGUAGCCGGCCUGAGAGGGUGAUCGGCCACAAGGGGACUGGGACACGGCCCUUACGCCAACGGGGGGCAGCAGUGGGGAAUAUUGAACAAUGGACCAAAGUCUGAUCCAGCAAUUCUGUGGGCACGAUGAAGUUUUCGGAAUGUAAAGUGAUUUCAGUUGGGAAGCAGUACCAACAGAAGAAGUGACGGCUAAAUACGUGCCAGCAGCCGCGGUAAUAC
rnacentral:rRNA from 1 species